rnacentral:rRNA from 1 species
CUACGUAGGGGGCGAGCGUUGUCCGGAAUGAUUGGGCGUAAAGGGCGCGUAGGCGGCCCGGUAAGUCUGGAGUGAAAGUCCUGUUUUUAAGAUGGGAAUUGCUUUGGAUACUGUCGGGCUUGAGUGCAGGAGAGGUAAGUGGAAUUCCCAGUGUAGCGGAGAAAUGCGUAGAGAUUGGGAGGAACACCAGUGGCGAAGGCGACUUACUGGACUGUAACUGACGCUGAGGCGCGAAAGUGUGGGGAGCAAACAGGAUUAGAUACCCUGGUAGUCCACACUGUAAACGAUGAAUGCUAGGUGUAGGGGGUAUCGACCCCUUCUGUGCCGCAGUCAACACAAUAAGCAUUCCGCCUGGGGAGUACGGCCGCAAGGUUGAAACUCAAAUGAAUUGACGGGG